UACGUAGGGGGCGAGCGUUGUCCGGAUUUAUUGGGCGUAAAGGGCCCGCAGGCGGUCGCGUCAGUUUGGGGUUACAGCUCCCGGCUUAACUGGGAGAGCGCCUCGAAGACGGCGUGACUCGAGGACUUCAGAGGGACACAGAAUUCCGGGUGUAGUGGUGAAAUGCGUAGAUAUCCGGAGGAAUACCAAAGGCGAAGGCAGUGUCCUGGGGAGUACCUGACGCUCAUGGGCGAAAGCUAGGGGAGCGAACGG
rnacentral:rRNA from 1 species